rnacentral:tRNA from 1 species
UCCCAUGUGGCUCAGUUGGUAGAGCAUGCCACUUUCAAUGCCAGGGUUGUGGGUUUGAUUCCCACAGGGGAC